rnacentral:rRNA from 1 species
GUAGGGAAUCUUCCACAAUGGACGAAAGUCUGAUGGAGCAACGCCGCGUGAGUGAAGAAGGUCUUCGGAUCGUAAAACUCUGUUGUUAGAGAAGAACGUGCAUGAUAGUAACUGAUCAUGUAAUGACGGUAUCUAACCAGAAAGCCACGGCUAACUACGUGCCAGCAGCCGCGGUAAUACGUAGGUGGCAAGCGUUGUCCGGAUUUAUUGGGCGUAAAGGGAACGCAGGCGGUUUUUUAAGUCUGAUGUGAAAGCCUUCGGCUUAACCGAAGAAUAGCAUUGGAAACUGGAAGACUUGAGUGCAGAAGAGGAGAGUGGAAUUCCAUGUGUAGCGGUGAAAUGCGUAGAUAUUGGGAGGAACACCAGUGGCGAAGGCGACUUGCUGGCCAGCAACUGACGCUGAGGCGCGAAAGCCAGGGGAGCAAACGGGAUUAGAAACCCUGGUAGUCC